rnacentral:rRNA from 1 species
CAGGGCUUGACAUCCCGCGAACCCCGUGGAAACACGGGGGUNCCCUUCGGGGAGCGCGGAGACAGGUGGUGCAUGGUUGUCGUCAGCUCGUGUCGUGAGAUGUUGGGUUAAGUCCCGCAACGAGCGCAACCCCUGCCCUGUGUUGCCAGCACUUNGGGUGGGNACUCACAGGGGACUGCCGGUGANAAACCGGAGGAAGGUGGGGAUGACGUCAAAUCAUCAUGCCCCUUAUGNCCUGGGCUACACACGUGCUACAAUGGCCGGUACAAANGGAAGCGANCCCGCGAGGNGGAGCGAAUCCCAAAAAGCCGGUCUCAGUUCGGAUUGCAGGCUGCAACUCGCCUGCAUGAAGGGCGGAAUCGCUAGUAAUCCGCGGUCCA